rnacentral:rRNA from 1 species
AUUGAACGCUGGCGGCAUGCCUUACACAUGCAAGUCGAACGGUAACAGGUCUUCGGAUGCUGACGAGUGGCGCACGGGUGAGUAAUACAUCGGAACGUGCCCGAUCGUGGGGGAUAACGAGGCGAAAGCUUUGCUAAUACCGCAUACGAUCUACGGAUGAAAGCGGGGGAUCUUCGGACCUCGCGCGGACGGAGCGGCCGAUGGCAGAGUAGGUAGUUGGUGGGAUAAACGCUUACCAAGGCGACGGUCUGUAGCUGGCCUGAGAGGAUGAUCAGCCACACUAAGACUGAGACACGGCCCUGACGCCUAAGAGAGGCAGCAGUGGGGAAUUUUGGACAAUGAGCGAAAGCCUGAUCCAGCCAUGCCGCGUGCAGGAUGAAGACCUUCUGGUUGUAAACUGCUUUUAUACGGAACGAAAAGCCUUUGUCUAAAGUAGAGGGGUCAUGACGGUACCGUACGAAUAAGCACCGGCUAACUACGUG